rfam:Macaca mulatta chromosome 7, whole genome shotgun sequence.
AUAUAUUGAGAGCUCAUCCAUAGUUGUCACUGUCUCAGAUCAUGACAAUUAUGGAUGAGCUCUUAAUAUAU